AAAUUGAAGAGUUUGAUCAUGGCUCAGAUUGAACGCUGGCGGCAGGCCUAACACAUGCAAGUCGAACGGUAGCACAGAGAGCUUGCUCUCGGGUGACGAGUGGCGGACGGGUGAGUAAUGUCUGGGAAACUGCCUGAUGGAGGGGGAUAACUACUGGAAACGGUGGCUAAUACCGCAUAACGUCGCAAGACCAAAGAGGGGGACCUUCGGGCCUCUUGCCAUCAGAUGUGCCCAGAUGGGAUUAGC
rnacentral:rRNA from 3 species